UACGGGGGGGUAAGCGUUGUUCGGAAUUACUGGGCGUAAAGGGCUCGUAGGCGGCCAACUAAGUCGGACGUGAAAUCCCUCAGCUUAACUGGGGAACUGCGUCCGAUACUGGAUGGCUUGGAUUUGGGAGAGGGAUGCGGAAUUCCAGGUGUAGCGGUGAAAUGCGUAGAUAUCGAGAGGAACACCUGCGGCGAAGGCGGGUAGCUGGGCCGACACUGACGCUGAUGCGCGAAAGCGUGGGGAGCGAACAGG
rnacentral:rRNA from 1 species